UACGUAGGGGGCAAGCGUUGUCCGGAAUCAUUGGGCGUAAAGAGCGUGUAGGCGGCUUGGUAAGUCCGCUGUGAAAGUCCAGGGCUCAACCCUGGAAUGCCGGUGGAAACUGUCAAGCUUGAGUCCGGAAGAGGCGAGUGGAAUUCCUGGUGUAGCGGUGAAAUGCGCAGAUAUCAGGAGGAACACCAAUGGCGAAGGCAGCUCGCUGGGACGGUACUGACGCUGAGACGCGAAAGCGUGGGGAGCAAACAGGAUUAGAACCUACCGUAGU
rnacentral:rRNA from 1 species